ACUCGUCACCCUCUGUGUCCCUUGUCUAAACGCAGCAUGAACGAAUUUACGAACGGAGACAGAUCCACAGUCCCCUUCCCGAUUUCAUCGUGGGGGACCAUAACAUUAAAGUCAUUAGACCUUAAGGAGUAACAGUAGGCUGGCCUACAGUCAUUACGAGUACAUUAUUGGGCUAGUUAUAGGAUAAAGGCCUAUGAACAUCACACGCAGCAACUCGGAUGCUCACAUUCCCGCUCACCCGAUCUCGACACAUCGCUAAUGAGAAGACCCUAUGUUCAAGGGCAUCAAUUGUGAAAACGUGUUAUUCAGACACAGGGAGAAAGAUUUCCACUGCAGAGAACACAUUCUUCACUAAUCAUCUUGGCAGUGACCUUUUGUGUGGGCUGUGCUAUGUGUCCUUGGACGUAAAGGACCUGAGCCCUAGGAGCAUGCCUCAGGACUACCUGGCCUGAUGACUCCUUGCUGUCCCCA